rnacentral:lncRNA from 1 species
AUGUAAUACAUGGAAGGUGACCAGGCACAUAACAACAAAAAGAAGCAAGGUAAUCAGAAAGGAAGGAGCUUUACAUUUGAUGACAGUAAUGGCUUGCACGGCUGGGCUUACUCAUCAGUCCUCUCACAUCUGGUUCUGACUGAACAUCGUCCCCACAUGGCGCCAAUGCCGGUGCCACUGCUACCUACCAUGGCUUCAGGUCGCCCUUGGGGCCCUGGGUCCAGUUCAGCGCCUUCUGCCCCGGGGUCAGGUACACGCUCUUGCUGUGCGGGAGCUUCCGCGCCAGCCCGUUCAGGAUCUGGUGGAAGGCGUCCCCGGCCUGCGCGGGCUGCGGGAACAGCAUGGCCUGCUUCAUCGACGGGUUCGCCAGCAGCCUCUGCUUCCGCAGGAUCACCUCCAUCGGGAUGGACGUCAGGAUGGUGUCAAGUUUCGGGACGUCGUCCUCCGCCACGAACACGCCGAUCUCGUCCCACGGGAUGGCGUCCG